UGUUGAGAUUUGGCAAUUGAAUUGCAUGCAUUUUUGCAUGUAAUUAGGCUAUAAAUAGAGAUGUUUUCAAAUGUUGAAGAACUUUUGCCUCUUUUAUCAUUUUUCAUAAUCUCAACAAAAAGAAAAAAGAAAGCUUCCAAUCUCAUUUUAUCUCCAUUACUUUCUACAUCAAAAUUGGGUCCCACAACCCGGUUCUUUGUCUAGAGGAUAGCAGUUGAGUACUAGUGGUGGUCUCGGGUAGAAUUGGUAAGAAGACAUCAAACCUUUUGUAAGCUUCAAAGGUAAUACUUCUUAAAACCCUAAUUUGAUUAGUUUAUGGUUACAUGUUAAUUGUGACAAUUAGGGUAGAAAUUCGAUUCUUUUUCCGCUGUGCAUGACUUAGUUCUAUCAAUAUGGAUGUUUAAUGAAUAAAGGUUAUAGACGUUUCUGGUAUAAACCGACGAGGGGAAGGAAGGAAGCGUGAUCGCCAUAGGGGACAUUUUAAAUUCGCUUUCGCUUGAUGAUUUCUCUUUUUGUUUUGUUUUCGUACUUGAGACUUAUUAGAAAAUUUGAGGUUUAACUGUAUCCAAAAACUGAAUAAUUAUAAGUUUUUCCUUGAAAGUUUUGGUUAUUUUAAACAGGGCCCAAACAUAAAUUUUGUAUUUUUAAGUUUUUUAAUUUAAUUGAAUUUGGUACUUUGUGUAAACUCAAGUCUUUGUGUUAAUUUAACGACUUUGGCUUAGUUAGAAAAGUCGAGUCUUUACAGUUGGUAUCAGAAACUAAGUUUUAGGUUCUGUAGACUGACUUACGAUGUAAGUUUGUGUGUUGUGUCCCUAUGGCUAACACGACCCUUCGCCUCUCGUCAAGUAUGGUUUAUGCUUAUAUUUAUGGUUUAUUUGCAUGACUUUGCCUAAGUUAAACUAAACUGUGUGAUGUACCUUAUGAUUAAGACUAUUAAAAGAGAGUUGUUGGUGGAUAAUAG
rnacentral:lncRNA from 1 species